rnacentral:lncRNA from 1 species
GGGGCCUUAGCGAAAAAGACCAACAUAGAGCCGCCACCCCCACAAGAAUUUGAUGUCUAAUUUUGACAGAGAAAAAACCAAGCCAAGAACCAGACAUAUUCUCAAUAUUGGAUGGUUGUCCUAUACCAAAAGUGAUAUAAACAACAUUCCACACUGAUCUAGCCACAUGACAAUCAAAGAAUAAAUGUUGAAUUGUUUCAUCUGCACUACUGAAGCAACACUUGGU